AACGGCCAUAUCACGUUGAAAUACCGGUUCCCGUACGAUCACUGAAGUUAAGCAACGUCGGGCCUGGUCAGUAUCUAGAUGGUUGACCGAUUGGGAAUAUCAGAUGCUGUAAG